AGAGUUUGAUCAUGGCUCAGGAUGAACGCUGGCGGCGUGCUUAACACAUGCAAGUCGAACGGACCAUAUUCGUAUGGUUAGUGGCAGACGGGUGCGUAACACGUAGGUGACCUGCCCUUAAGUGGGGAACAACUCCGCUAACGCGGAGCUAAUACCGCAUAUGUUCGUUGGUGCAGAUCAGCGAGUAAAGCAGCAAUGCGCUUAGGGAUGGGCCUGCGGCGGUUUAGGUAGUUGGUGGGGUAACGGCCUACCAAGCCGAUGAUCCGUAGGGGGCGUGAGAGCGUGGCCCCCCACAUUGGCACUGAGACACGGGCCAAACUCCUACGGGAGGCAGCAGUGAGGAAUAUUGCGCAAUGGGCGAAAGCCUGACGCAGCAACGCCGCGUGAGGGACGAAGGCCUUCGGGUCGUAAACCUCUUUUCUGGGGAACGAGUAAGGACGGUACCUCAGGAAUAAGUCUCGGCUAACUACGUGCCAGCCGCCGCGGUAAUAC
rnacentral:rRNA from 1 species